GUGCCAGCAGCCGCGGUAAAACGUAGGAGGCGAGCGUUAUCCGGAUUUACUGGGUGUAAAGCGCGUGCAGGCGGUUUAUUAAGUUGGGUGUGAAAGCUCCUGGCUCAACUGGGAGAGGUCGCUCAAGACUGAUAGACUUGAGAGCAGUAGGGGAAGGUGGAAUUCCGGGUGUAGUGGUGAAAUGCGUAGAUAUCCGGAGGAACACCAGUGGCGAAGGCGGCCUUCUAGACUGUAUCUGACGCUCAGACGCGAAAGCUAGGGUAGCAAACGGGAUUAGAUACCCCCGUAGUCC
rnacentral:rRNA from 1 species